GGAGGGAAAGAAGCUCUUCUGAAACCCUAGCCUGGGAUAGUGAUCGGUUGUCUUUGGAGCAACAGGAACGGGAUCAAGCAGAGGAAGAACUCAUGGCAGGACGGAGUCCUGGGCACCAACUGCCCCAUCCCGCCCAACUCCAACUUCACCUACAAGUGGCAGGCCAAGGAUCAGAUCGGCUCCUUCUUCUACUUCCCAUCGACGGCGAUGCACCGGGCCGCCGGCGGCUUCGGGGGGCUCAACGUGAACCAGAGGGGGCCCAUUCCUAUCCCAUAUCCGGUUCCCGCCGGAGAUUUCACCCUCCUCAUCGGCGACUGGUACAAGGCCGGUCACAAGGUCCGUCCACGCCCCUCCCUGUUUCAGAAGAGCCUCAUUAAUUGUAUUUCAAUAGAAGAAACAUAAAGAUCGUGGGUCGACAUGCAGGCGAUUAGGCAGUCCUUGGACGCCGGAAGGGCCCUUCCUCUCCCCGACGGCAUCCUCAUCAAUGGGCUUCCUCAGGGCUCCGUCUUCACCGGAGACCAAGGUACAUGUGGGCAGGACUUUAUGAACCUGCAACCUCGUUGACUCUAGAUUCUAUCGCCGAUGAGGUCCUCGAGGAACCAAAGAGAUUGGGAUUAAACUUGUAAACUUUGAUCCACUCCGCAGGUAAAACCUACAAGUUUAGGGUCUCCAACGUGGGUCUGUCGACCGCCUUCAACUUCAGGAUCCAGGGGCACAAGAUGAAGGCUGUGGAGGUGGAGGGCUCCCACGUAAUCCAGGAAUUCUACGACUCCAUCGACGUCCACGUCGGCCAGUCCGUUGCGGUCCUCGUCACCCUCGACCAGCCCGCCGGCGCCUACUACAUCGCCGCCUCCACCCGGUUCACAGCGUCCGCGCUGACCGCGACGGCCGUUCUUCGCUACUCCAAGUCAACCUCCCCCGUCUCCGGCCAGAUUCCCCCUCCUCCUGCUUUCCAGCUUGAGGGUUCCAUACUCCAAGCGAGGACCUUCCGGUGGAACUUGACGGCGAACGCUGCCAGGCCCAAUCCCCAGGGUUCUUACAGGUAUGGGAGCAUCCCUCGGACGAGGUCCCUCGUCCUCGCCAACACCGCUCCGGUGGUCAACGGGCGGCAGAGAUACGCAGUCAACGGGUUCACCUAUGUCAACCCCGACACCCCCCUGAAGCUCGCCGACUACUUCAACAUUCAAGGGGUCUUCACCGUGGACAACAUCCCGGCAGCGCCGCCUGCCACCGCCGCCGCCCCCAUCUUCUCCACGUCCGUCCUGAGGUUCAACCUCCGCGACUUCGUCGAGGUCGUCUUCCAGAACAACGAGAAGGAACUGCAGAGCUGGCACAUCGACGGAACCGACUUCUGGGUCGUG
rnacentral:lncRNA from 1 species